rnacentral:rRNA from 2 species
CCGUAACUAUAACGGUCCUAAGGUAGCGAAAUUCCUUGUCGGGUAAGUUCCGACCCGCACGAAAGGUGUAACGAUUUGGGCACUGUCUCAACGAGGGACCCGGUGAAAUUGAAAUACCUGUGAAGAUGCAGGUUACCCGCGACUGGACAGAAAGACCCCAUGGAGCUUUACUGUAACCUGACAUUGGGUUUUGAUACAUUACGUACAGGAUAGGUGGGAGGCUUGGAAAGCUGGACGCUAGUCUGGCUGGAGCCGACGUUGGGAUACCACCCUUGAUGUAUUGAAAUUCUAACCGCGAGAGUAACGAAAUCCGGGACAGUGUCAGGCGGGCAGUUUGACUGGGGCGGUCGCCUCCGAAAGAGUAACGGAGGCGCCCAAAGGUUCCCUCAGCGCGGCCGGAAAUCGCGCGAAGAGUGUAAAGGCAGAAGGGAGCUUGACUGCGAGUCAAACACGACGAGCAGGUACGAAAGUAGGGCUUAGUGAUCCGGUGGUACCGAGUGGAAGGGCCAUCGCUCAACGGAUAAAAGCUACCCUGGGGAUAACAGGCUAAUCUCUCCCAAGAGUCCAUAUCGACGGGGAGGUUUGGCACCUCGAUGUCGGCUCAUCACAUCCUGGGGCUGAAGUCGGUCCCAAGGGUUGGGCUGUUCGCCCAUUAAAGUGGUACGUGAGCUGGGUUCAGAACGUCGUGAGACAGUUCGGUCCCUAUCCAUCGCGGGCGCAAGAGAUUUGAAGGGGGCUGCUCCUAGUACGAGAGGACCGGAGUGGACGAACCGCUGGUGUACCAAUUAUCCCGCCAGGGGUACAGUUGGGUAGCUACGUUCGGAAAGGAUAAACGCUGAAAGCAUCUAAGCGUGAAACCAGCCUUAAGAUGAGAUCUCUCAUAGAGCAAUCUAGUAAGACACCUUAAAGAAGAUGAGGUUGAUAGGUCGGGAGUGUAAGUACAGCAAUGUAUUGAGCGGACCGAUACUAAUAUGUCGAGGGCUUGACUUA